rnacentral:tRNA from 1 species
AGGAUUAUAAUUUAAUUAAAAUUUUUGAAUUGCACUCAAACAUUACUUUACCAAAAAGUUAAUCUUA